CUUAAGCCUAUUGAUGGGUU
rnacentral:miRNA from 1 species